UCAGUAACACGUAGUCAACCUGCCCUUGGGUCGGGGAUAAUCUCGGGAAACUGAGGCUAAUACUCGAUAGAUCAAGAUUCCUGGAAUGGGUUUUGGUCGAAAUGGGGUAAUGACAUCUCUGUUAUUUUCGCCCAAGGAUGGGACUGCGCCGAUCAGGCUGUUCGCCUCGGGGUAAAGGCCCACCAAACCAGUAACCGGUACGGGCUUUGAGAGAAGGAGCCCGGAGAUGGACACUGAGACAAGGGUCCAGUCCUAACGGGGCGCAGCAGGCGCGAAACCUUCGCAAUAGCGCGCAAGCGCGACGAGGUUAUUCCGAGGUGACUCUUCCGCUGAGGAAAUCUUUUCUCAGAUCUAAAAAGUCUGGGGAAUAAGGGGAGGGCAA
rnacentral:rRNA from 1 species